AGAACGAACGCUGGCGGCAGGCUUAACACAUGCAAGUCGAACGCUCGUAGCAAUACGGGAGUGGCAGACGGGUGAGUAACGCGUGGGAACAUACCCUCCGGUUCGGAAUAGCUCAGGGAAACUUGGAUUAAUACCGGAUACGGCUGAGAGGCGAAAGAUUUAUCGCCGGAGGAUUGGCCCGCGUUCGAUUAGCUUGUUGGUGAGGUAACGGCUCACCAAGGCGAUGAUCGAUAGCUGGUCUGAGAGGAUGAUCAGCCACAUUGGGACUGAGACACGGCCCAAACUCCUACGGGAGGCAGCAGUGGGGAAUAUUGGACAAUGGGCGCAAGCCUGAUCCAGCCAUGCCGCGUGAGUGAUGACGGCCUUAGGGUUGUAAAGCUCUUUCGCUCGGGACGAUAAUGGACGGUACCGAGAUAAGAAGCCCGGCUAACUUCGUGCCAGCAGCCGC
rnacentral:rRNA from 1 species